rnacentral:rRNA from 1 species
GACGAACGCUGGCGGCGUGCUUAACACAUGCAAGUCGAACGAUGAAGCUGGUGCUUGCACUGGUGGAUUAGUGGCGAACGGGUGAGUAACACGUGAGUAACCUGCCCCUGACUCUGGGAUAACUGCUGGAAACGGUAGCUGAUACUGGAUAUGAACCGUACGGGCAUCUGUUGCGGUUGGAAAGAUUUUUCGGUUGGGGAUGGGCUCGCGGCCUAUCUGUUUGUUGGUGGGGUAGUGGCCUACCAAGACGACGACGGGUAGCCGGCCUGAGAGGGUGACCGGCCACAUUGGGACUGAGACACGGCCCAGACUCCUACGGGAGGCAGCAGUGGGGAAUAUUGCACAAUGGGGGAAACCCUGAUGCAGCAACGCCGCGUGAGGGAUGACGGCCUUCGGGUUGUAAACCUCUUUUGGCAGGGAAGAAGCGAGAGUGACGGUACCUGCAGAAAAAGCGCCGGCUAACUACGUGCCAGCAGCCGCGGUAAUACGUAGGGCGCGAGCGUUGUCCGGAAUCAUUGGGCGUAAAGAGCUCGUAGGCGGUUUGUCGCGUCUGCUGUGAAAGCCUGGGGCUCAACUCCGGGAUUGCAGUGGGUACGGGCAGACUAGAGUGCGGUAGGGGAGACUGGAAUUCCUGGUGUAGCGGUGGAAUGCGCAGAUAUCA